UAGUGUUACAGCUCUUUUACUAUUUGUCCAGCAGGUUCUUACUGUGUAGGAGCCCCA
ensembl:snRNA U7 U7 small nuclear RNA